UACGUAGGGGGCAAGCGUUGUCCGGAAUCAUUGGGCGUAAAGAGCGUGUAGGCGGCUUGGUAAGUCCGCUGUGAAAGUCCAGGGCUCAACCCUGGAAUGCCGGUGGAAACUGUCAAGCUUGAGUCCGGAAGAGGCGAGUGGAAUUCCUGGUGUAGCGGUGAAAUGCGCAGAUAUCAGGAGGAACACCAAUGGCGAAGGCAGCACUCUGGGACGGUACUGACGCUGAGACGCGAAAGCGUGGGGAGCAAACAGG
rnacentral:rRNA from 1 species